rnacentral:rRNA from 1 species
GUGAGGAAUAUUGGACAAUGGGCGCAAGCCUGAUCCAGCCAUGCCGCGUGCAGGAAGACGCAUCUAUGGUGUGUAAACUGCUUUUGUACGGGAAGAAACACUCCCUCGUGAGGGAGCUUGACGGUACCGUAAGAAUAAGGAUCGGCUAACUCCGUGCCAGCAGCCGCGGUAAUACGGAGGAUCCAAGCGUUAUCCGGAAUCAUUGGGUUUAAAGGGUCCGUAGGCGGUUUAAUAAGUCAGUGGUUAAAGCCCAUCGCUCAACGAUGGAACGUCCAUUGAUACUGUUAGACUUGAAUUACAAGGAAGUAACUAGAAUAUGUAGUGUAGCGGUGAAAUGCUUAGAUAUUACAUGGAAUACCAAUUGCGAAGGCAGGUUACUACUUGUGGAUUGACGCUGAUGGACGAAAGCGUGGGGAGCGAACAGGAUUAGAAACCCGAGUAGUCC